AGUGUCCAUUGAGCUUUGGGGAAAGUGGUGGCCUGGCCACGAAGGCUUCACUAUUAGGACAGACCUGGAGGAAUUACCAAUAGCUGCUGAGGAGUGAAGGGGAAACAGGGAAGUCAGAAGGAAAACACACCUACAUAACUGAUGUUAAAAUUCACAGCGGAGAUGCUGGCUAGCGACAGGAGCUGAAUUUUGAAUUCUGGGCUCUGAAAUUUUAUAAAUAUCUUUGUGCCCUCAAGUGAUUACGUCUGUGUUCUUGGUGGAGAAGAAGAGACUUAUAAUUUGUCCUUCUGGUGCUAUUCAUAUUAAGGACUCGGACCCCGUGGAGUUGGCUGUGUGAAUUGUUUAAGUCACUGAACUAAAAGCUACCUGGAGCCUUGUGGCAGCCGGCACAAAACCCGUCAUGCUUCCCUCUGCACACCUGACUAACAGCAACGUUCCUGAAAGUGGCUAUUCUGUUCAUGCAUGUAAGGAUGUCACAGAAUGGAAUCCCGGGCAGUACAUGUGCUCACAGAGCCUGUGUAAGUCAACCUCACUGGUUUAUAAAAGUGGGGCUUGGGGGCUGCUGGCUACUGCACACCGCCCCGAUCACCUGUUGCUUUGCUUGGACCACACACACACACACACACACACACACACACACACACACACACACACACACACACUUGCUUAAGAUCCUUGAGAGAGACUGUUAUCUGCGGUGGAAUCCUCAAUGACCUUUUCCAGGAAUGUGACUCUGACAUACAGUUUAAAACCUGCCCACUUUGGAUGUCUCAAGGCCAUUCUACUCCUUAAAUGAGUGAAACCUCUUCUGCUUCUUUCAUUUUCUUUGUAAUACAUGUGGCCAUGGGCUUGCAGGGUAUUGUUCACUUUGUAGUGGCACCCCAGAGGCUACACUGUGAAUACUAUGUCCUGGGUCAGCAAGGUUAUGGCCCCGUCAACCAGAGUCCAAGGAACCUCAUUGGAAAAUGAUCUUACUCAGUUUGUCUCAUAAAGAAGUUACAAUCACAUAUAAUAGUGAAGCAUAACAUAAACUCUCAGCAAAUUAUUAACUCAAUUAAUGUAGCUGUAACAAUAAGAUUUUGAUACUGAAGGCUUGCUUUUUGGACCCACCAUGAUUUUUAUUAAAAUGUUCAAUAUAUAUAUUUUUUUUAAUUCUGAAAUUUUAAACAUCAAAUCCAUCAGGGGAAUGAAGACAGAAGGAAUACUUGUUAGAAUUAGGUCCUGUUGUGGGAUAUUUGUAAGCUGUGUGAAAAUGUACUAUCGUGGUUGGUGUAAUAAAAGGCUGAAUGACCAAUAGUUAGGUGGAAGGUAUAGGCAGGACUUCCAGGCAGAGGAAGGUACGAGGAGGAAUCUAGGCAUGCAAGAGAUGCCCGAGGGUAUGGAGAGGAAACAGGAGGUGCCAGAUGGAAGAGAGGUAAAAAGCCACACAGUACAAAUGGGUUAAUUUGAGUUAUAAGAGCUAGUGGGGCCAGCCUAGGUUAUAGGCCGAGCUUUCAUAAUUAAUAAGUCUGUGUCCCAGACCCUUAGUCUGUGCCUUCAUGCUGGUCCGGAAUGGCUGUUUAGGUCAAGCCAUCACAUCUAUUUCAUUUGCUAGAAUAGACAGAGAGAGAGGAAGCAUACACACCUGCUUCUGAUUUAGCUUAAGGACUCAGUCACACCAGGCUUCUGACUGCAGUUUGUUGGCUAGGACUUGGUCGUUCGAUCAUACUCUUAAUUGCCCUGAUCUACUUAAGUCAAAGAUGGUAUUAUUCGGGGGUGAAUACAGAACAGACCCAGGGGCUAUUUAGCAAUCUGAGUUGUAGUGGAUUGAAUAGUGUGCCCUUCACCCCAUUUGUGUCUACCUCAAACUUCAGAACUUAACUUAAUAUGGAGACAGUGUCUGCAUGUGUAAUUGGCUGAGACUCCUGAGAUGAGGUCAUUCCGGAUUUAGGAUGGAACUUAUUUCCAAUGACUGGUGCUCUAGAGCAGAGGACACUGAGGUUAGGGAUGAGGCCAUAUGAAGAAGGAGACAGACGCAGCUGCUACGCCAGCAGCAUCUGGGGAAGGCAAUGGGGGGGUCGUGAUCUAGAGCCUUCAGAGAGAGCCUGCCCAGCUGCCACCUUCCUUCUUCCUAAACUCUGGGAGAGCGUGUUCUCAGGGUUUCCAGCCACCAGACACAUGACGAUGUGCUGUCUACACGACAGUUUGCUCUCUGCUGCUUACUUGCACUGAUUCCUAAAACUGAGGACCAACACUGUCACUAUGACAAUGAGCUGGUGUUUCAUAUCACCUGUCAUUCUUGAGGUCAUUCAGAGGCUGGCUGGGUUUGGGGUAGACUAUCUGUGGUUCAGAAUCUGGCUUCUCAUAAUCUCACCACACAACCAUGGUCUUCAGUUCUGCAUGGAAGAAAAUGGAGAUGGAGCGCAGACAAUUUCUACAUUUAUCACCUUCUACGAGGCAAGAGCCUUGCAUACAUUUUCUCACUUAAUCUUUGCGGUUAUCUUAAAUGGGUGGCAACUUCUCCACAUAACCAGUGGAGAAGCAGCAUGAGAGAGGUGGGUGUCUAUCUGUGGAUGGCAGAGACAACGUCUAGACCUGUGUCUGCCUGGCUCUCUAGUUCAAAUUCUUCCCCACAGGGGUGAUCCGACUCAGGAUAACCACACUAUUUAUCUAGAAGACUACUUUGUGCCAGAGGUCAGUUCAUUCACAGAGGGAACGAAGCUUUCCCACAUCCUCAGAGUUGGGUAAUUCAAUGAAGAUAGAUUCAACAUCUUUUCUGUACUGGGCAAUGAAAAGGAGAUGAGCUAUAUGAAACCACCCUCCUCAGAUUGCUGCCAUUGUUAAUUGUCUGCACUGGCUAGGGAUGAGGAGACUGUAGGGGACAUUAUGAGUGUCUGUGAACACUGCCCCCCUACACAUGCCACAUAAGAUAGUCAGUUGGGAAAACUUUCAGAGAAUCAGAUUCCUAGGCUCCACCCUAGUCUGUGGAAGCAUGAUAUUGAAGAAUGUGCUCCAGGACUACAUUUUAGUAAAAGAUUCAUUUUUACUUUAUGUGUGUGGGUGUGUGUUCCACCUGUAUGUAUGUCUGUGUUCCAAAUGCAUGCAAUGCUCACAGGAGCCAGAAGAAGGCAAGGAAUCCCCUGGAACUGUAGUUAUAUGUGGUUGUGAGUCAGUAUGUAGGUGCUGGGAAUUGAACCCAUGUUCUCUGGGAGAACAGCAAGUACUCUUAACCACUGAGUCAUCUCUCUGGUCUCAUGGAUUACAUUUUUAAAAAGCUCUGUAGGUGAUUCUUAUGCUGAGCUACCAACUAGGUAGCCGCAUCCAGUGUUUUACUUUCCUUAUAUAAUACCUUAAACAUUAGUAAUGAAUGGAAAUACUAGCUACAUGGAAUAAUAAGGUUAAAUGUUUUCUUAAUAGUGUUGUACCUUAUGUAUAAUUGAGGAGCUCAUUAUAGGAGAGAUGUUUAGGCAUGGUCCAUGGUCAUGCAUUGUCCUUCUAGAGAAAGAACAAUGCUUUCGACUCCUCCAAUAAAAAUGACAACAGAUGAUAAAGAGGCCAUAUAGUGUUAUUUUUAUCACUGUUCUGUUUCUUCAGCAGUCACACACAAUCCAUCUCAGGGCCUGCUGUUAGCUGCACCUUUAGCCUAGAAGGCCUGUCUCUGAGGUUCCCAAACUGAAUUUGUUCAAAGCUCUCCUGCUUAGUGAGGCUACUCCGACUGCCCUGUUUCUAUAGUUUCCCUGCAGCACCAAACCCGUUUCCAUCCCAUAGACUUCCUGGACCCCUUCCUUCUCCACCAGGAAGGAGCUUCACAUGGCUGAGAGCUUUGCUUUGUUCAGCAUCGUGUCCAAGCACCAAGACACAGAAUCCUCAACAAGUGACUAAGCAUCACACUCUCUAUCAAGUGUGGAAUUAGUAUCAGAGCCUUUUGAAAAGCUUAUAUGAAAAAUAUUUUAAUGGUAUAUUUGCAAACACGUCUCAUCAGUAUUUAUCCUGAUAAUAUUUCUGUUUUGAUAACAGGUUGAGCUAGGUCUGCUUUAAGGUGUAAUUUGUUUUGAAAAGAAAGAAAGAAAGAAAUCCUGCAACUAAAAUCCACAAGCCAAACCACAGCAUUUUACAUCUUCCUUCAAUUUGUUAAAGUUACUUUGACAACGUUGCACCAUCAUGCAAUUUAAUUAAGACUGACUAGAGAUUUCUGUUUGGAAAUAAAGCUGACGGAUUUUUUUUAA